UCCGUGCCGUAGCUAACGCAUUAAGUACCCCGCCUGGGGAGUACGGCCGCAAGGCUAAAACUCAAAGAAAUUGACGGGGGCCCGCACAAGCGGUGGAGUAUGUGGUUUAAUUCGAUGCAACGCGAAGAACCUUACCAGGGUUUGACAUCCUGCGAACCCCCUGGAAACGGGGGGGUGCCUUCGGGAACGCAGUGACAGGUGGCGCAUGGCUGUCGUCAGCUCGUGUCGUGAGAUGUUGGGUUAAGUCCCGCAACGAGCGCAACCCACGUCGUUAGUUGCCAGCAUUCAGUUGGGCACUCUAGCGAGACCGCCGGUGAUAAACCGGAGGAAGGUGUGGAUGACGUCAAGUCAUCAUGCCCCUUACAUCCUGGGCUACACACGUACUACAAUGCUACGGACAAAGGGCCGCAAGCUCGCGAGAGUUAGCAAAUCCCAUAAACCGUGGCUCAGUUCAGAUCGUAGGCUGCAACUCGCCUACGUGAAGGAGGAAUCGCUAGUAAUCGCAGGUCAGCAUACUGCGGUGAAUACGUUCCCGGGCCUUGUACACACCGCCCGUCACACCAUGGAAGUUGGCCACGCCCGAAGUCGUUACUCCAACCCGUAAGGGAGGAGGACGCCGAAG
rnacentral:rRNA from 1 species